rnacentral:rRNA from 1 species
UACGUAGGGGGCAAGCGUUGUCCGGAAUCAUUGGGCGUAAAGAGCGCGUAGGCGGCCCUGUAAGUCCGCUGUGAAAGUCAAGGGCUCAACCCUUGGAUGCCGGUGGAUACUGCAGGGCUAGAGUCCGGAAGAGGCGAGUGGAAUUCCUGGUGUAGCGGUGAAAUGCGCAGAUAUCAGGAGGAACACCGAGGGCGAAGGCAGCUCGCUGGGACGGUACGGACGCUGAGGAGCGAAAGCAUGGGAGCGAACAGG